UACGUAGGGUGCAAGCGUUUAAUCGGAAUUACUGGGCGUAAAGCGUGCGUAGGCGGUUCGUUAAGUCUGUUGUGAAAGCCCCGGGCUCAACCUGGGAAUGGCAAUGGAUACUGGCGAGCUAGAGUGUGUCAGAGGAUGGUGGAAUUCCCGGUGUAGCGGUGAAAUGCGUAGAGAUCGGGGAGGAACAUCAGUGGCGAAGGCGGCCAUCUGGGACAACACUGACGCUGAGGCACGAAAGCGUGGGGAGCAAACAGG
rnacentral:rRNA from 1 species